AGAGUUUGAUCGUGGCUCAGAACGAACGCUGGCGGCAUGCCUAACACAUGCAAGUCGAACGAAGGCUUCAGCCUUAGUGGCGCACGGGUGCGUAACGCGUGGGAAUCUGCCCUUAGGUACGGAAUAACUCAGGGAAACUUGAGCUAAUACCGUAUAAUGACUCCGGUCCAAAGAUUUAUCGCCUAAGGAUGAGCCCGCGUCGGAUUAGCUAGUUGGUGAGGUAAAGGCUCACCAAGGCGACGAUCCGUAGCUGGUCUGAGAGGAUGACCAGCCACACUGGGACUGAGACACGGCCCAGACUCCUACGGGAGGCAGCAGUGGGGAAUAUUGGACAAUGGGCGAAAGCCUGAUCCAGCAAUGCCGCGUGAGUGAUGAAGGCCUUAGGGUUGUAAAGCUCUUUUACCCGGGAUGAUAAUGACAGUACCGGGAGAAUAAGCCCCGGCUAACUAAGCACCGUGCCAGCAGCCGCGGUAAUACGGAGGGGGCUAGCUGUUCGGAAUUACUGGGCGUAAAGCGCACGUAGGCGGCUUUGUAAGUUAGAGGUGAAAGCCCGGGGCUCAACUCCGGAAUUGCCUUUAAGACUGCAUCGCUAGAAUUGUGGAGAGGUAAGUGGAAUUCCGAGUGUGGAGGUGAAAUUCGUAGAUAUUCGGAAGAACACCAGUGGCGAAGGCGACUUACUGGACACAUAUUGUCGCUGAGGUGCGAAAGCGUGGGGAAACAGGAUUAGAUACCCUGGUAGUCCACGCCGUAAACGAUGAUAACUAGCUGUCGGGGCGCUUAGCGUUCCGGUGGCGCAGCUAACGCGUUAAGUCAUCCGCCUGGGGAGUACGGCCGCAAGGUUAAUACUCAAAGGAAUUGAC
rnacentral:rRNA from 1 species